CCUACGGUGGGCAGCAGUGGGGAAUAUUGCACAAUGGGGGAAACCCUGAUGCAGCGACGCCGCGUGAGUGAAGAAGUAUUUCGGUACGUAAAGCUCUAUCAGCAGGGAAGAAAAUGACCGUACCUGACUCAGAAGCCCCGGCUAACUACGUGCCAGCCGCCGCGGUACUACGUAGGUGGCAACCGUUAUCCGGAUUUACUGGGUGUAAAGGGAGCUGAGACGGCCGCGCAAGUCGGGAGUGAAAACCCAUGGCGUAACCAUGGACCUGCUGUGGAAACUGUGCCGCUAGAGUGCAGGAGAGGUAAGCGGAAUUCCUAGUGUAGCGGUGAAAUGCGUAGAUAUUAGGAGGAACACCAGUGGCGAAGGCGGCUUACUGGACUGUAACUGACGUUGAGGCUCGAAAGCGUGGGGAGCAAACAGGAUUAGAUACCCUAGUAGUC
rnacentral:rRNA from 1 species